rnacentral:rRNA from 1 species
GUGGGGAAUAUUGGGCAAUGGGCGAAAGCCUGACCCAGCAACGCCGCGUGAAGGAAGAAGGUCUUCGGAUCGUAAACUUCUAUCCUUGGUGAAGAUAAUGACGGUAGCCGAGAAGGAAGCCCCGGCUAACUACGUGCCAGCAGCCGCGGUAAUACGUAGGGGGCAAGCGUUGUCCGGAAUGAUUGGGCGUAAAGGGUGCGUAGGCGGCCUGGUAAGUCUGGAGUGAAAGUCCUGCUUUUAAGGUGGGAAUUGCUUUGGAUACUGUCGGGCUUGAGUGCAGGAGAGGUAAGUGGAAUUCCCGGUGUAGCGGUGAAAUGCGUAGAGAUCGGGAGGAACACCAGUGGCGAAGGCGACUUACUGGACUGUAACUGACGCUGAGGCGCGAAAGUGUGGGGAGCAAACAGGAUUAGAAACCCUUGUAGUCC